CACCGAGAGGGGCCCAGCCCUUCCCCACCUCUCUCCUGACCGUUACUCCGGACAGUCUCCAUCACUCUCUGCUGCCUGGUAACUGGUAUUGGACACCUGGACAUCUGCAUCCCCGAGCCUUGAGAACCCAACACGUGUUCUGGAAUGACUGGCAGUAGCACCCCACCACUCAACCCCCAUAUGAGAAGAAAAAGGCCUCCUGCCUCCUCUUCUUUCACCAGACACUGUGGGCCCACAAUUCCCAUGUGCACCCCAAAGAUCCAAGCCACUAGCUCUCUCUCCACCUCUUGCAGGGUAGACCUUCUCCUUUUUUUUUGGCGGGAGCGGACAGAAUCCCACUCUGUCACCCAGGCUAAAGUGCAGUGGCGCGAUCUCGGCUUUUGUGUUAUACAAGGCUCUUUAUAUCAUGAUUAACACAAUAAGGUGCUUAAUCAUGAGUCUUAAUGUGGCUGCAUCCCACUCCCUAGGCUUCAAGGACAGAAAUUGCAUAUUUUUGAAAAGGUUAUUCUAAUGUACACCUGGGUUUGUGAUCCACUUAUAAGCCCUCAAAACCACUAAUCUGUUCUCCAUAAUUUUGUCAUUUCUGGAAUAUCACAUAAAUGAAAACAUACCAUAUGUAACUCUAUGGGAUUGGCUUUAUUUUUUCACUCAGCAUAAUUUAUCCAGGUUUUUUGUGUUUAC
rnacentral:lncRNA from 1 species